rfam:Dipodomys ordii contig_70055, whole genome shotgun sequence.
GGUGGCUCAGUGGUAGAGUGCUUGCCUUGCAUGCAUGAGGCCCUGGGUUCAAUUCCGUAGCACCA